ACACCCGUCUAGUCAGUCGUGAGCGCUGGCCUUUUAAGCCAGUGGUCGUGGGUUCGAUCCCCACGGGGGUGCU
rnacentral:tRNA from 1 species